rnacentral:misc_RNA from 1 species
UCCGGUUUAACACCGGCAGUCCUUCUAGAGUCCCCGCCAUGACGCGCUGGCAACUAGAAGCAAGGGUUUCGCUCGUUAUGGGCUCUCCGCCGCGCAGUCUUCGGAGCGGCGGAACCGCGCUCGUCAGUCCCCGACAUCUCACGACACGAGCUGACGACAGCCAUGCAGCACCUGUGAGCAGUGGUCAAUGAUCGGUGGCCAGGGGUCAGAAGGCCAAUUUCUUCACUGAUCCCUGACCCCUGAUCCCUGACCCCUGAUUCUGUGGGCGCAUGUCACGCUCACAAUCUAGUUCUCAUCGUUUAGGGCUAGGACUAC